rnacentral:rRNA from 1 species
UGAGACCUGCGGAAGGCUACACAUGCAAGCCGCACGGGAUUUAUUUAUUAGCUUGCUAAUGAAUAAUGAGAGCGGCGUACGGGUGCGGAACACGUGUGCAACCUGCCUUUAUCAGGGGGAUAGCCAUUCGAAAGGAUGAUUAAUACCCCAUAAUAUAUUGGAUGGCAUCAUUUAAUAUUGAAAGUUUUUGCGGAUAGAGAUGGGCACGCGCAAGAUUAGAUAGUUGGUGAGGUAACGGCUCACCAAGUCGAUGAUCUUUAGGGGUCCUGAGAGGGAGAUCCCCCACACUGGGACUGAGACACGGCCCAGACUCCUACGGGAGGCAGCAGUGAGGAAUAUUGGACAAUGGGUGGAAGCCUGAUCCAGCCAUUCCGCGUGCAGGAAGACGGUCCUAUGGAUUGUAAACUGCUUUUAUAUAGGGAUAAACCUACCCUCGUGAGGGUAGCUGAAGGUACUAUAUGAAUAAGCACCGGCUAACUCCGUGCCAGCAGCCGCGGUAAU